UUAUAGUGGUUUUGAUUUUUUUGACAUCUUGGUUCUCUGACUUUAGUCCCCAGUUGCCAAAAUUGUACUGGUUUUAUACACAAUUAGAAACACGCCAGCAUUUUAUUCAUCUAUCGUUGGAAAAUAGGCCAAACCAAACAACAAAGUCUAAACAGUGAAGCAGGAAUAAGAUUAUUUAUCUAAUCCAUAAACCCAUAUGCUCAACUAUAUGGGCUCUGAACUAAAACAAUUAAAAUGCAGAUCAAGUCAAAAGGUCACUUUAAAGAAAAACAAUAUGAUGCAAAAAAGAAAACCCUCCAUUUGGUAGAGCCCAGUGAUGCAAUCAGUGACAUCAAACACCAAUUCAAACAGGAAGUGCUGGGUCGGCGUAGAGCUGCUCUGGCUGCAGGAUCUGAAGGAUCCAACAACGGUUGUUUGGAUGUCCGGCACUGCAAAGGGUCAGUAGUGGCCUGGCUUGACAACUCCACCUGACUCAAGGUGUCUUGGCGGCGCCAUCUUUUUCUCCAAUCGACAUCCGAGAAUACCAGCAGUCUCCAGGCAGCAGUCUUUUGCAAACGUAGCCUUAUUAAAAAGCACAUUAAAUGGUAA